rnacentral:lncRNA from 1 species
GUGGAUCCAGACUGCUUUCAGGAACAUUGGAUCACAUGGUGGCUCCACAGAGAAGAGAGGAGGAAGAGAGCAAUUUUCUGCUUGUCCCUACUUAUAUUGAGCAAAACAAAAGUACAUUCCUGGCCUAGAUUAAAUUGAUACAAGAUUUGGAUCCCAAAAUGAUGAGAUUAAAUUCCAAAUCUAUUUGGAGGAUGAAACAUGAGGAUCGGGAGGUCAAUGUCCUGCUGGGCUAACUAUGAGUUGUAAAGCCAGAUCGAUCAGGCCUCAGGAGAUGAUCCCUCAAACAACAGAAUGAACACAAUCAAAGAACAAGCAAAACAACAUUAUAAAAGACAUGAAAGAAAAACUAUUGGAAUUCACAGACAGUUGAGAGUGUGCAUCAGUGGUAAAGUAUGUGCCUAGCACGCAG